rnacentral:rRNA from 1 species
ACUGCAGUCGAGCGAACGGAUAAGGAGCUUGCUCCUUUGAAGUUAGCGGCGGACGGGUGAGUAACACGUGGGUAACCUACCUAUAAGACUGGAAUAACUUCGGGAAACCGGAGCUAAUGCCGGAUAACAUUUGGAACCGCAUGGUUCUAAAGUAAAAGAUGGUUUUGCUAUCACUUAUAGAUGGACCCGCGCCGUAUUAGCUAGUUGGUAAGGUAACGGCUUACCAAGGCAACGAUACGUAGCCGACCUGAGAGGGUGAUCGGCCACACUGGAACUGAGACACGGUCCAGACUCCUACGGGAGGCAGCAGUAGGGAAUCUUCCGCAAUGGACGAAAGUCUGACGGAGCAACGCCGCGUGAGUGAUGAAGGUUUUCGGAUCGUAAAACUCUGUUAUUAGGGAAGAACAAAUGCGUAAGUAACUGUGCGCAUCUUGACGGUACCUAAUCAGAAAGCCACGGCUAACUACGUGCCAGCAGCCGCGGUAAUACGUAGGUGGCAAGCGUUAUCCGGAAUUAUUGGGCGUAAAGCGCGCGUAGGCGGUUUCUUAAGUCUGAUGUGAAAGCCCACGGCUCAACCGUGGAGGGUCAUUGGAAACUGGGAAACUUGAGUACAGAAGAGGAAAGUGGAAUUCCAUGUGUAGCGGUGAAAUGCGCAGAGAUAUGGAGGAACACCAGUGGCGAAGGCGACUUUCUGGUCUGUAACUGACGCUGAUGUGCGAAAGCGUGGGGAUCAAACAGGAUUAGAUACCCUGGUAGUCCACGCCGUAAACGAUGAGUGCUAAGUGUUAGGGGGUUUCCGCCCCUUAGUGCUGCAGCUAACGCAUUAAGCACUCCGCCUGGGGAGUACGACCGCAAGGUUGAAACUCAAAGGAAUUGACGGGGACCCGCACAAGCGGUGGAGCAUGUGG